AUUUAGCUGACGAGUCCCACAUGGGACGAAACGAAGUCCUGGAU
rfam:Schistosoma curassoni strain Dakar, Senegal genome assembly, scaffold: SCTD_contig0008888